UUUUGUCCAUGUAAACACUGUCAAGC
rnacentral:piRNA from 1 species